rnacentral:rRNA from 1 species
UACAUGGGGUGCAAACGUUGCUCGGAAUCAUUGGGCGUAAAGCGCGCGUAGGCGGUUGCUUAAGUCGGCUGUGAAAGCCCUCGGCUUAACUGAGGAAGUGCAUCCGAAACUGAGCAGCUAGAGUACGAAAGAGGGUCGCGGAAUUCCCGGUGUAGAGGUGAAAUUCGUAGAUAUCGGGAGGAACACCGGUGGCGAAGGCGGCGACCUGGGUCGAGACUGACGCUGAGGCGCGAAAGCGUGGGGAGCAAACAGG